rnacentral:rRNA from 1 species
GCCAGACUCCUACGGGAGGCAGCAGUGGGGGAUAUUGCACAAUGGGGGAAACCCUGAUGCAGCGACGCCGCGUGGGCGAAGAAGUAUUUCGGUAUGUAAAGCCCUAUCAGCAGGGAAGAAGAAAUGACGGUACCUGAGUAAGAAGCACCGGCUAAAUACGUGCCAGCAGCCGCGGUAAUACGUAUGGUGCAAGCGUUAUCCGGAUUUACUGGGUGUACAGGGGGCGCAGACGGCAGCGCAAGCCAGGAGUGAAAGCCCGGGGCCCAACCCCGGGACUGCUCUUGGAACUGGGUGGCUGGAGUGCAGGAGGGGCAGGCGGAAUUCCUGGUGUAGCGGUGAAAUGCGUAGAUAUCAGGAGGAACACCGGUGGCGAAGGCGGCCUGCUGGACUGCAACUGACGUUGAGGCCCGAAAGCGUGGGGAGCAAACAGGAUUAGAUACCCUGGUAC